AGAGUUUGAUCCUGGCUCAGAACGAACGCUGGCGGCAGGCUUAAUACAUGCAAGUCGAACGGGCGUAGCNNUACGUCAGUGGGGACGGGUGAGUAACGCGUGGGAACGUACCCCUCGGUUCGGAAUAACUCAGGGAAACUUGAGCUAAUACCGGAUACGGCUUAGCGGCGAAAGAUUUAUCGCCGAGGGAUCGGCCCGCGUCCGAUUAGCUAGUUGGGAGGUAAUGGCUCACCAAGGCGACGAUCGGUAGCUGGUCUGAGAGGAUGAUCAGCCACAUUGGGACUGAACACGGCCCAAACUCCUACGGGAGGCAGCAGUAGGGAAUAUUGGACAAUGGGCGAAAGCCUGAUCCAGCCAUGCCGCGUGAGUGAUGAAGGCCUUAGGGUUGUAAAGCUCUUUCGUCAGGGACGAUAAUGACGGUACCUGAAGAAGAAGCCCCGGCUAACUUCGUGCCAGCAGCCGCGGUAAUACGAAGGGGGCUAGCGUUGUUCGGAAUCACUGGGCGUAAAGCGCAUGUAGGCGGGUCUUUAAGUCAGGGGUGAAAUCCAAGGCUCAACCUUGGAACUGCCUUUGAUACUGGAGCCUUGAGUCCGGGAGAGGUGAGUGGAACUGCGAGUGUAGAGGUGAAAUUCGUAGAUAUUCGCAAGAACACCAGUGGCGAAGGCGGCUCACUGGCCCGGUACUGACGCUGAGAUGCGAAAGCGUGGGGAGCAAACAGGAUUAGAUACCCUAGUAGUCC
rnacentral:rRNA from 1 species